UACAGAGGUCUCAAGCGUUGUUCGGAUUCAUUGGGCGUAAAGGGUGCGUAGGCGGUGAGGUAAGUUGGAUGUGAAAUCCCGGGGCUUAACCCCGGAACUGCAUUCAAUACUGCCUUGCUAGAGUACUGGAGAGGAGAUUGGAAUUCACGGUGUAGCAGUGAAAUGCGUAGAUAUUGCUCGGAAGGCCAACGGCGAAGGCAGGUUACUGGUACGCAACUGACACUGAGGCACGAAAGCGUGGGGAGCAAACAGG
rnacentral:rRNA from 1 species